rnacentral:sRNA from 1 species
UGGGCAUCUAAGUCACAUGCAUCCCCAUGUUACCAAGUAGUUUGGAACAUCUCACAGAUCAACAUAUACAUUCAUUUACUGAGUCAAUACAUUUAAAAUUACAUAUAGUUUUAGGCUUUCUAUGGCACUAGAUAAUUGAGUCAAAUCAAGUUUUGUUAGAACCGUCUGAUUUACUUGAAUCUUCUCUCUCUAUAUAUAUAAACAAAUAUAGAAAAAUAAAGAACGGAAGAGACAUUAGACCAUCCUUAUUGCAAGUCUCUUACUAUAAAUCUUAGGUAUAAUAUAUAAUCAAAAUAAUAUGUGAAUAGUUUAGAAAAAGUCCUUAGCUAAGAGAUAAAAGAAGGUUUAAGAACUUCAAACCAUUACAAAAACUCUUAGCUAUAAUUUUUUCAAUAAUACAAUUCAUAAAAUAGUUAAGAGAUAAAAUUAAGAGUCUACCAUUAAGGUUGCUCUUAGGUGAUUGGUUUCUCAUUGAA